rnacentral:lncRNA from 1 species
CCGGCGCCGGUCACGGACUGGGAAGGCAGCCUUCCCUUGGUGUUUAAUCAUUGCAGGGACGCCUCUCUGAUUAUUCACCCAGGUUUUAGAGGUGUCAGACCACGCAGGGACGCCUGCCUUAGUCCUUCACCCUUAGCGGCAAGAAUAUCAGGCCUGUGAGCCCAAGCUAAGCCAUCAUAUCCCCUGUGACCUGCACGUACACAUCCAGAUGGCCGGUUCCUGCCUUAACUGAUGACAUUCCACCACAAAAGAAGUGAAAAUGGCCUGUUCCUCCCUUAACUGAUGACAUUGUCUUGUGAAAUUCCUUCUCCUGGCCCAUCCUGGCUCAAAAGCUCCCCCACUGAAUACCUUGUGACCCCCACUCCUGCCCACCAGAGAACAAUCCCCUUUGACUGUAAUUUUCCUUUAUCUACCCAAAUCCCAUAAAACAGCCCCACCCCUAUCUCCCUUUGCUGACUCUCUUUUCGGACUCAGCCCGCCUG